rnacentral:rRNA from 1 species
AGCAGCCGCGGUAAUUCCAGCUCCAAUAGCGUAUAUUAAAGUUGUUGCAGUUAAAAAGCUCGUAGUUGAAUUUCGGGGUCAGUGAGUUGGUCGUGCCACUGGUAUGCACUGGCUUUACUGAUUCCUCCUUCUUGAAGAACUGUAAUGCUAUUAAUUUAGUGUUGCAGGGAAACAGGACUGUUACUUUGAAAAAUUAGAGUGUUUAAAGCAGGCUAACGCUUGAAUACAUUAGCAUGGAAUAAUGAAAUAGGACGUUUGAUCCUAUUUUGUUGGUUUCUAGGAUUGACGUAAUGAUUAAUAGGGAUAGUUGGGGGCAUUAGUAUUCAAUUGUCAGAGGUGAAAUUCUUGGAUUAUUGAAGACUGACUACUG